CCUACGGGUGGCAGCAGUGAGGAAUAUUGGUCAAUGGGCGCGAGCCUGAACCAGCCAAGUAGCGUGAAGGAUGACUGCUCUACGGGUUGUAAACUUCUUUUAUAAAGGAAUAAAGUGAGGCACGUGUGCCUUUUUGUAUGUACUUUAUGAAUAAGGAUCGGCUAACUCCGUGCCAGCAGCCGCGGUAAUACGGAGGAUCCGAGCGUUAUCCGGUUUUAUUGGGUUUAAAGGGUGCGUAGGCGGAUCGUUAAGUCAGUGGUCAAAUUGAGGGGCUCAACCCCUUCCCGCCAUUGAAACUGGCGUUCUUGAGUGGAAGAGAAGUAUGCGGAAUGCGUGGUGUAGCGGUGAAAUGCAUAGAUAUCACGCAGAACCCCGAUUGCGAAGGCAGCCUACUAAACUGCCACUGACAUUGAUGCUCGAAAGUGUGGGUAUCAAACAGGAUUAGAUACCCCUGUAGUC
rnacentral:rRNA from 1 species